rnacentral:misc_RNA from 1 species
CUUACACGAAACGUGGCAAUUAAUCUAGAUUAUCGGCGUAAGGAUUAAUCGACCAGAAAUUUAUGUCCAGGCAAGAUGCACGAUCCACGCGCAAAGUGGGCCACACGUGUUCUGUUACACCCUGUAUAUACAGAACAAAGGAUGAACUAAUUCCCAAGGCCGGACACCAUCGAGCAGAAAUAAAUUCACGUAUCGUCUCGGACUGUUGCAACUUUACCAGUUCUGAACGGGGGUGUACACGUGCACGUGCAGCGGCGGUAUAGCACGAAAGAGCGUGCAAUCUGGCCGCGUUUCGCCAAAGCUUUGGGACAAAGGUCAUCGUGGCUCACGCAUCGCGCCGCUGGGAAGCAGCGACGUGACCGAUUCGAUCGUCUCUACGA